GCAUAUCGGGUUUCCGGGGGUGACAAUUGGAAUCAAAUGUACUGAGAAUGUUUCAUUUGUCUCCGGAACGGAAAUCGUACAUCCCUAGAAAUGUACAUGGCAUGUCCCGUAUAAAACGAGUAUUAAUUGAAGUUUAACAAAAGGAUUAAACUCCUUCGCAACACCCUCCAUGCAGACCAUGAGGCUUCAUACUGAGUGCUCUCAGCUUUCAACUUUUGUUCAUUGAGAGUCUGAGGGAAACAAUCGUCACAGACGACGUUGUGCUUCACACAGACGAUAACGCCGCCAUGGUCAACUUACUCCAGCUGCUGACCAGCGACUCCGUUGACGACGCACAGACACCAGAUGUCGUUAUUCAUAGCGACCAAGAGACCGUCUUCAUGGAGGUGUCAGGCACCGUUCUGCAGGAUGUGAAUAGGGAUCUUCAGGCUCUAAUGCAAGGCUGCAGCCAGGGCCGGUGUAAGUUUUGCACUCGUGCCAAGUGGUUCAAAGCCUGCAUCGAAGCUACCAUUCUCAAACUCGGAUUUGAGUUCAAAGUCUCUCUGAGUGGAAGAACAGAUAAGCAUUAGCAACCCACAACCUUUUUGCGUCAACAAGAUCCCCGGUCUGAGUCGCAUUGCUUACGUCUGCAUGGAGAUCUACGACGUGGAUGUGGUCAACAAAAAGCGUGCGUCAAAAUCACCUUCAGGAUCAAAAUUCUUAAAAAGAACAUCAAAAUAAAGCUCGGAUGCUUCAGGAUUCCGCACGCAACCCUACCAAAGUUUGCCAUGGUCUCUGAUAAAUUGGAAGAAGCGCUCACUUUGGACGGCUCUCCUUAAAGUUCUCAAAGGGCAUUGCAACCGUCCGUAUAACUUACUAAUUUGCAACCGUCCGUAUAACUUACAUAUCGACUACGUCAACCAUUUGUAAACGAAGAGAAACAUUAGCUUUUUAUAUGAUAUAGUAUGUUAAGACUCCUUACUAACCUUGGGUAAACCAGCAUGCAACAACACGCAUGUGUCAACAAUGAAGCAUUGGUGUGUUGUAUUUUACUUGGGUUGAAUGUCUUGUCAUAGUGCACUGAUGUUUGUCAAUAAAGUUGCUUAUUCGAGAGCAUCAAAAAGUA